AAGGGAUUAGCUCAGUGGUAGAGCGAUUGGUUUACACCCUAUAGGUUGCAAGUUCGAAUCUUGUAUCCCUUA
rnacentral:tRNA from 3 species